UCUGAAAUCACCUAAACUGGGAAAAGGAGGAAUGUCUGUGUGGAGUACAGUCUCGAUCUGCUGAAAUUAAUUUUCUCAGUGGAGAAGGGUCUUGAAGCCAUCAGUUACCUUAAUGCAGUCCACCCCAGCCUUGGUGGACACGUCUGUGAACCUUCAGCAGAAGGUGGAGAUUGAUGUUCCUCCUCUGACUACUCUGAGCCAUCAUAGUAACCACAUGUCCAAUGGCAUUUCUUCCAGACUGGAAAGCCCACACCAGGAAUGCUACAACAUUUUGGACAAAAAUUUGGUGCCUUGUUUAUAAAAAAUAACUAAGGAGCAUAAUUUGAUGUAAGGACUGAAUUACUGGGGAUGAGAGCUGAGCAGAUGGCUUAAUACUAAGAUUUAUGAGACACCUGAGAUGCAGAACAUUAUAUACAUGCAUACAUCUUCCUAUUCUUAGGGAUCUGUACACUUCUAAUUCCUCUACUACCCUUAUUUUGGUGUCAUCUGGCCUUUUGUGACAUGUAUUUUUAUACAAACCCAGUUGGGUAAUGAAAUACUUUUGUUAUAGGUUUGCAGAUGGAGUGCUAAUGAAAGGCCAGCUGAUCACUGUACAAAGUCCUUUCAUUUGUGUUAUCACUGCUCUUUAGGAAAUGACAGCCUCUGUUAAUUCCCUGGCCAGCAGAAGAAAUCAUGUAGGGACUUACCUGCUUCAGUGCAAAGCCAGCUGGCCUCAGUGCCGAGCAAGGGUGUUUGAACUAACCUGGGUGCCAAGGAUCAGGUCUGCAAAUCACACCCCAAGACUCCUGGCCUCAAUGCUCUCUUAAAUGUCAAUUUAGCUUUCUGAGUGUUGGGCCAAGAUUUAUUAAUGACUUUUUGCUUUAUAUUUAUUGCUUUCAUUAUUAGAAAUUCAGUAUAUUAGAUGCUUCAAUUAUUAGAAUUGAGUUUAACAGAAUUUUCAUGUAAUAGAAAAAAAAUAGUAGUUUUCUGGAUGCCUUUUUUCUCCUUCUUCUUUAUACCCAUGUCAUGCCUUUUAUUUUGAGCAGGGUGUGGAUAUAUUUUCAUUUCUCUUGGCUACGUGCCUUUCCCACCCAGCCACAUGAACAAGAGGGAAGUUCUUUCAAUUUAGAAAUUGGCAAAAAUAACGGAGCAGCAAAAUUCUACCCUUGGGGAGAAGGUUAGGUGUUCUUUUAAGAAUGUGAGAAAAGCAGCAGGUUUUGCCUUAAGGUACAUGGGGUGAAAAUUGUUAUCUUUGCAUGGGAUCUUUCAUUAACAUAGAACAAAGGCAACGGAUGGGAAGAUACACAGAAAAGUACUACUACUUGUAGGGAAUAUCAGCUUUCCCUUACUGUGGAUUUGGGGCAUUUUGGAUAUUCCUUAUGUAUAUUAACCUGGAGUUUUAUAGCUGGUAAUGAAUGGUGUUUCUGCUUUUCUAAAAUUCACUUUUCAUCUUUACUACUCUUUUUCAGGAGCCCUGACAUCACUAUGAAAAAUUACUUUAAUCCAAUAUAGUUUAAAUUGAAAAAUCAUUCAUCGGUGAGGAGGUGUGAUAACAGAAUGUAUGGCGACAACUUCUUAUUUUCAUAUUUUAUGAAUAAACCAAAUACAAUAGAUAAUUCAAUUAUGAAAGAUCAGAGAGCUUUAGUUUUGAUCAGAGGGUGCACUGAUUUAUGCCAUUAACCAAUUCAAACACUUGCAUUUGUCACAGAUCUACUGUGGCAUAUGGAGGAUCCCAAGGGAUAUUUGCUGAAACCCAGUAGGAGCUAAAAUGCAGCUUGCAAUGAACUGGGCAGCAGCAGGAAAGUGUCGGGGAGAGCAAUGUAAGAGGAAGAUGAGCAGCAGUCUUGCAUGCUGUGUUCUGGAGCAGCAUGGCUUUUUGGUUCAAAUAAAUAUUAGAGUUAAUGCUUCUGUUGCAAAGUUUCUGUUUGGCUGCACUCUUCAACAAAGCACGUGAGACAAGUCUUGUCAGUGUUUGCAGAUUUUGAAUUCCAGGUUGACAUGCAGAAGACUUCAUGUUUCAAAGCAUCUAUUGUGCUGAGGGCUCUGGUUAUAGUAGUGAGUGUGUGUGUGUAUUUCUGUGUAUCUACUUAGGCAUAGUAGGGAGAACUCCUGUCAUGCUGUCUCUGACAGUAAUACAUUACUUAGCUGUAAUUUCUACAUUGGUUUCUGGUUUAUUGAUUGGAGAUGGUGUAGGCUGUUUCUAGUGGGAAAUGCUGGUAAGUGCAGCAGGGGUUGAGAAAUGGUGCCUUGACUGCCAGGAUAAAGAAACCUGUAUUAUUGCACAGGUCACUGAGGUUUGUUAGAAAAUGUCUGCUUUCUGGAGGGUAUAUUUAUUGCAAUAUUUAAGAUGGGAUAUACUAACUGUGAUGUCUGUAUUCCCAGAAGAGCACAAUAUUCUGAUGUUCUAAUGUCACUGUUCGUAGUUAAGCUUUGUCAUUAUCAUUUAUAGGGCAGAGUCAGUGAGAUCAGCACUUUAGUGAAGUUUCUGGUCACAGGAGUUUUCAUUCUAAUUAUGUAAUUAAUUUAUUAACUUGCAGAUGAAUGAGGAUUAGCAAAAUGAUAAAAAGUGAAAAAAACCCUAUUAAACUCCUCUGUAUUGUGCUUUAUUUUUUAUUGUAUGCACAGACCUGGACUAUAUCAUCUCAUUUGACGGUUGUUUCACUGCAAGAAUUUUCUGUUUCACUGAAUUUCCUAUAUGGAUAAAACUAUUGACCCUGGUAGGAUGGAAGUAAAAAAAAACAAAAAUUCUAAAAAUAAAGCAAAGCUAAACGACAUACUGUGAUUGGAUAGUUUUAAAAAA